GGGCUGUAGCUCAAUUGGGAGAGCAUCUGCUUUGCAAGCAGAAGGUCGUCGGUUCGAUUCCGUCCAGCUCC
rnacentral:tRNA from 1 species